ensembl:lncRNA
UUUGCGAUUGCUUUCAAGCAGUGCUUCUGCGUCCUUGAUAGCAGUGUUCCUAGAGUUACUGUGGGGGCGUGUCGCCUUAUCUUUAUGUGUGUGAAAAGAAUAGGCUACGUUCGAUACAAUUUAAUGCAAAAGAUAAUGACAAACUCAACUGUGAAGAAGAGAUCAACUCCGAUUGCUUGAUGGACUGAAACCAUAUUGACCAAUGGCACCGACAGUCGACCAAACAUCGGAGUCAUGGCCGGUGGCUCACCAAACACAAUGUGGCGACAAAUGAUUUCUAAACAUGUCUGAUUAAUUUUGGACUAUCACGGUAUUUAGGUGGAGGCUACUGUCCGUGAGUGAAGUUGACAUUUCGUGAAUGAUGCCAGUUCUGUGUGGAAUCAUACUUCUGUUUUGGUUAGUGGAUGAGUGCACAGCUUCCAAGAACUACUGCUGGUAUUUUGAAGGAGGCUACUCCAUCCAUUUAAUCAACGACCUGGGGAAUCGUUACAGGGGAGAGGAGAUGAAUGAGCCAAUUGUAAGCUGGGGAAGAUCAGGUGACUAUGAUGGUAUGAAGGCCAGACUGGGAAUUUAGCCAGGAGACCAGGGUUAACACCCCUACUCUUACUAUAAGUGUCAUGGGAUCUUCAGUGACCACAGAGAAUCAGGACACCCAUUUAACAUCCCAUCUGAAAGACAGCACCCUACACAGGGGAAUGUCCCCAAUCACUGCCUUAAGAAUUGGGAUAUUUUUUUUUUAGACCAGAGGAAAGUGUGUCUCCUACUGGCCCUCCAACAGCACCUCCAGCAGUAUCUGGUCUCCCAUCCAGAGACUGACCAGGACCAACGCUGCUUAGCUUCAGAAGCAAGCCAGCAGUGGGAUGCAGGGUGGUAUGCUGCUGAUUGAACUGUUUGUGAACUUAAAGAGUGCAGUCUAUUGAUUCCCUCUGGCUUGUUUAAAGACCGGGUUGUGUUUGAUUAAAGAAAGUGGUCCCUGGAUGUGGAUGAAUACAGCAAGAUCACCAGAUUGGAAAAGUUCUAAUGAGUUAAUACCGGCCUAUGACUGACUGAUUUUGGCUGUCAUUCAUAUAGGAUGCCGUCGAAGCGGCGAGGGGAAAGAAAGAAUAAGCUGUAACUUUUCCCAAUCCAAUCAUAAAAUCCCACACAGCAUCCACUGGGUUGAGAAAUCACCUCAUUGAAGCUCUUUGAUUUCGAUCUAAAUCAUUGAACCAAUGGGCUAAGCAUUAGUCUUCA